rnacentral:rRNA from 1 species
AGAGUUGAUCCUGGCUUAGGAUGAACGCUAGCGGCAGGCUUAACACAUGCAAGUCGAGGGGCAACGCGAGUAGCAAUACUUGGCGGCGACCGGCGCAAGGGUGCGUAACGCGUGAGCAACAUGCCCGUAUCAGGGGGAUAAUCCAGGGAAACUUGGUCUAAUACCCCAUAGUAAUUUUGUAAGGCAUCUUAUAAGAUUUAAAGCUUUGGUGGAUACGGAUUGGCUCGCGUGACAUUAGCUGGAUGGUAAGGUAACGGCUUACCAUGGCUAUGAUGUCUAGGGGUUCUGAGAGGAAGGUCCCCCACACUGGAACUGAGACACGGUCCAGACUCCUACGGGAGGCAGCAGUGAGGAAUAUUGGACAAUGGAUGGAAAUCUGAUCCAGCCAUGCCGCGUGAAGGAAGAAGGUCCUAUGGAUUGUAAACUUCUUUUGUAUGGGAGCAAUAAGGCCUACGAGUAGGUUGAUGAGAGUACCAUACGAAUAAGCACCGGCUAACUCCGUGCCAGCCGCCGC